rnacentral:rRNA from 1 species
AUGACUAUUUGGGGAAACCAUUCAACAACUCAGGUUCCUAAUUUCUUGAAUGCCAAAAUUAAUGGGAGGCCAGUAAAAGAAGUCAUCAAAGAUACAAAGUGGCUAGAAGAGGAUUUUCCUAUAACUGUUCAAAAGGUACAUGGAGAAGGUGGUGGUGCCGCCGAGGCUGUUGCUCCCGGUGUUAGAGAGGGCGUCACUGACCGAUGCCGCCGGCUUGCCCGAGGUGGCCUGCACGUCUUCAUGACCAGCCAUCUCCCCAGUCGUAUGCAGAUCCACAGUGGAUCAAGCGGAAUUGGCACAUUUGCUAUACAGAUUGCAAAGCGCCUUGGAAUCAAGGUUUUUGUCACUGCAGGUUUAUUGGUUCAGAUAGAUACAAUAUAUAUGGUACAAAGUUGUUUUCCGGAAGCAACUCUGUUAUGCCGCUCUAGAAAGCCAAAGAGAAACUAA